AGCCUGAACGCUGGCGGCGUGGCUAAGACAUGCAAGUCGCACGGACCCGCAAGGGUUAGUGGCGAACGGGUGAGUAAUGAAUCGCUAAUGUGCCCCGGACCCCGGGAUAGCUACCCGAAAGGGUAGGUAAUACCGGAUGACAUCGCCCCCCGGCAUCGGGGGGCGCUCAAAGGUCCGCCGGUCCGGGAGCAGGCGAUUUCGAUCAGCUAGUUGGUGGGUAACGCCCACAAGGCGACGACGCGUAGCCGGACUGAGAGGUCGGCCGGCCACAUUGGGACUGAGACACUGCCCAGACUCCUACGGGGGGCUGCAGUAACGAAUCUUCCGCAAUGCCCGCAAGGGUGACGGAGCGACGCCGCGUGUGGGACGAAGUCCUUCGGGAUGUAAACCACUGUCAGGGUUACCAAGUUCUGAGGAGCCCCGAGAGGAAGGCACGGCUAACUCUGUGCCAGCAGCCGC
rnacentral:rRNA from 1 species